rnacentral:rRNA from 1 species
GACGAACGCUGGCGGCGUGCUUAACACAUGCAAGUCGAGCGAUGAAACACCUUCGGGUGUGAAUUAGCGGCGAACGGGUGAGGAACACGUGAGAAAUCUGCCUUCAACUCUGGGAUAACUCCGGGAAACCGGGGCUAAUACCGGAUAUGAGCCUUGAUCGCAUGAUCGGGGCUGGAAAGUUUUUCGGUUGAAGAUGAUCUCGCGGCCUAUCAGCUUGUUGGUGAGGUAAUGGCUCACCAAGGCGACGACGGGUAGCCGGCCUGAGAGGGCGACCGGCCACACUGGGACUGAGACACGGCCCAGACUCCUACGGGAGGCAGCAGUGGGGAAUUUUGGACAAUGGGCGAAAGCCUGAUCCAGCCAUGCCGCGUGAGCGAAGAAGGCCUCGGUUGUAAG